UGCCAAGCCUGUAUUUUUUUUAUCAGAA
rnacentral:piRNA from 1 species